rnacentral:rRNA from 1 species
GGUUACACUUAUAAUGCAAUAAAAAAUUUUUGGUAGUAAUUAAUAAGUAUGGAUGUUGAAUUAAUUUUUAAUUUUAUUAAGUGAAAUUUGUAAAAUUAUAAUAAGUUUUAUAUUAUUUUAUGAGAUUAGUAAAUUUAGAUUUUAGACUAGGAUUAGAUACCCUAUUAUUCUAAACGGAAUUAAGUUGCCAGGUUAGUAGUAGUUAUGGCCUUGAAAAUUAAAGAAGUUGGCGGUAUUUUAGUCUAUUCAGAGGAACCUGUCCUAUAAUUGAUGGUCCACGAUUUAAAGUACUUAUUUUAUUGGUUUGCAUAUCGCCGUAGAUUGAACAUUUUUGAAAAAGAGUAAUGUUCAAGAUUUUGAUUAGAAGGGAAUUCAGGUCAAGGUGUAGCUUAUAAAUAAGAAGAGAUGGGUUACAAUAAAUUUAUUUAUAUGAAUUAAUAAAUGAAAUUUUAUUAUGAAAGUGGAUUUGAGGGUAAUUUUAUUAAAAUUAAUAUAAUGAUUUAAGCUCUAAAAUAUGUACA